UAACAGAAAUACAAAAGAUUUCUAUAAACGGCAUGGCAGUAGCAAAAGCGGAAGUGAACUGAUCUUUAUUGGUGAACUUGGGCAAGGGAUCAACUAGAGCAGAAGGUGCAACACGUGAUCUAAGCAGAUGAUAUAAUCCACCUCUCACUUCACCCAUCCCAAUCAUUGUCCAAGAAGCUAAGUCCUGAAAAAAACAAGAGUUGGAUAGGAAAAUGAGACAA